ACGAACGCUGGCGGCGUGCUUAACACAUGCAAGUCGAACGGAAAGGCCCCUUUGGGGGUACUCGAGUGGCGAACGGGUGAGUAACACGUGAGUAACCUGCCCUUGACUCCGGGAUAACUUCAGGAAACUGGGGCUAAUACCGGAUAGGAAUCCUUGCUGCAUGGUGGGGGUUGGAAAGCUUCGGCGGUUUUGGAUGGACUCGCGGCUUAUCAGCUUGUUGGUGGGGUAGUGGCUUACCAAGGCUUUGACGGGUAGCCGGCCUGAGAGGGCGACCGGCCACAUUGGGACUGAGAUACGCCCCAGACUCCUACGGGAGGCAGCAGUGGGGAAUAUUGCACAAUGGGCGGAAGCCUGAUGCAGCAACGCCGCGUGCGGGAUGACGGCCUUCGGGUUGUAAACCGCUUUCAGCAGGGGCGAAGCUUGUGGUGACGGUACCUGCAGGAGAAGCACCGGCUAACUACGUG
rnacentral:rRNA from 1 species